UACGUAGGGGGCAAGCGUUGUCCGGAGUUAUUGGGCGUAAAGGGCGCGUAGGCGGCAAUUCAAGUCAUCUGUGAAAUCUCCGGGCUUAACUCGGAACGGUCAGAUGAUACUGCUUUGCUAGAGUGCGGAAGGGGCAAUCGGAAUUCUCGGUGUAGCGGUGAAAUGCGUAGAUAUCGAGAGGAACACCAGAGGUGAAGGCGGUUCUCUGGGACGGUACUGACGCUGCGACGCGAAAGCGUGGGGAGCGAACAGG
rnacentral:rRNA from 1 species